GACCCGAUAGUCUAAAGGUAGGACGUCCCCCUUCAUAAGUGCAUUAUCUAUCAAUUGUGCAUUUAUGAAGGGGAAAGAUGUGGUUCGAAUCCACAUCGGGUCA
rnacentral:tRNA from 1 species